GUUUUUGAAUUCGACUCGUCUCCCUCUCUCUCUUCACACCACAGUAUCGCCCCCCUCUCAACUACUGGAGACGAGCAAUCCAACGGCUCCGGCUACUGGACGACCUCGACGACUGACGCCGUGGUUUUUGAAUUCAACUUGUCUCCCUCUUUCUCUCUUCACACCACAGUACCGCCCCCCUCUCAAGUACUCUGUACUCAGGUGGUUAACGGAGGAGAAGCAGUCCAAGACGUCGUUCAGCCAUCGUUCAGCGAGUGAGACAAGGAUCCGGUUCUGCUCGUCUGAAGUUGUUGUUUAGCCGUCGUUCAAGGCUUAAGCAGAUUUUCGAACAGCCGAGGAAACCCCACCGUCGUUCAGCGAGUUUCACAGAUGUUAUCAAUGAGAAAUGGAUUGAGUUUACACCCCAUGUACCUACCUGGAGUAUUGCAAUCUACACAGUUGCCGCAAAUGCCAAUGGGCUUUGGUGAUGGAGAGAGGUCACUGCAUAUGAACAUGGGAACAUGCACAAUGCCUGUGAACCAGGAAGACUCAACACGAAAUGCAUUCAGUCUGUCCAAUCAGCAUGCACCCUUGCAAAAACGAGCUGUCUUACCCAAUGUGACAAAUAUAACUCAAUCGGAAUCCUCAUUUGGGGCAGAUUUACCUGUUCAGACCCACAAUGGACCAUUUCAGCUCUCUAAAGCUUCUGAGAAAACAAGAAACCCAUGACAACAUCAACUCUGCCUUUUGAUGCACAAUCAUUAGUUUCGCUGGAACCUACCUCUCUGGGAGCAUGUGUUUUACACAAAGAAGGAUCACAAGAGGUGCUUCCAAAAGAUGUAAAUGGUAACCAGAUUCUCAUUCAACAUCUGCAUAGGUAAGAUUAAUCCAUCAGAUAUUAUUCUGUUUCUUAACAUUAUGAACAAACUUUUCCUUACAUGUUUGGUUUUUCUACCUCAGCGUACAGACUGGAAGAAGUGUGUCUGAUGAAAACAAGAUGACCCCGGACUGCUAAAGUUGGCUAGACACCUUGUAUGUCGCUAACAGAUUGGAUUUGGUGUAUCAUAACUUAAUCAGUACCUCGUCUUUCUCUAUGUUGCUCAGGCAUGUUUGGUAUUUGAUGCAAAUGCCUCCAAGCAGAGUAUCAAUUGGACAAGAUUCAGUGCUCCCUAGAGGUUUUUUCACAUUGCUCUGUAGAAUAGAUGUUGGAAUAUAGGAUAAUUCAUGUGUACUGAUGAUUCUUUUAGUUGGGGUUACAGUUAUCUCCUGGAGUUAAUUGCCAACAAUUAUACUCCUAGAGUCAAGAACAUGAUUGCUCCCACCCCAUUCUCCUGUGAACAGGGUGGUCCGGUAGGAAACCUGAAUUCAUAGAAAUACAAACCGGAGUUCUCUGCCUUGCCCAAUUUUUAACAUGGGAUGUUUGAAAAGUGGAACUGCAAGUUUAGAUGUUUUCCUGUUAGAUCAAUCAUCUAUAGGCUUUGAAGUUGGGGAUAUGCAGUUCUCUUAAUAUUGCUCCUCAUGGGCAUUGAUAACCCUGUUAUUUGGCUGUGUUUCUAGUGCAGAUUCAAUAUCCAAUCCUGGAUGAUGAAGUCCGACAAGAGGAAAAAUGCCAAUAAUUCCCUAUUUCAUAGUGUACGCUGUUGAGCUAUGUUUCAUAUAAACUGGCGCUGGGCUAACUAAGCUAAACUGUUAAAUUCUUUUUUUUUUUUUUCAUGAAAAUGCUGAAGUAUUAA